rnacentral:rRNA from 1 species
UACGUAGGUGGCAAGCGUUGUCCGGAUUUACUGGGCGUAAAGAGCGCGCAGGCGGUUGUUCAAGUCGCGUGUGAAAGCCCCCGGCUCAACUGGGGAGGGUCACGCGAUACUGGUUGACUCGAAGGCAGGAGAGGGUAGUGGAAUUCCCGGUGUAGUGGUGAAAUGCGUAGAUAUCGGGAGGAACACCAGUGGCGAAGGCGACUACCUGGGCUGUUUCUUGACGCUGAGGCGCGAAAGCUAGGGGAGCAAACGGG